GGGCGUAUAGCGUAGUUGGUAGCGCGUUCGCUUCGCAUGCGAAAGGUCUCCGGUUCGACUCCGGAUGCGUCCA
rfam:Pichia guilliermondii ATCC 6260 scaffold_2 genomic scaffold, whole genome shotgun sequence.